rnacentral:lncRNA from 1 species
UAGAUUGUGAGUGGGUAUGUCAUCCUCCUCAUUAUAGUCCUCCUAAGAUCAAUAGGUUUUCGUCGAAAUACAUCCCGUCUUUUCACUUAAAAUACAUGCAAUAGAAUCUUUGUAUUCGGCUUAAUUCUUUUAGCAAAAGAUUGGGCCGAGUUUUCAAUUAAGAGAAUGGAGGCUAAUUAUUUGUUAUCUUAUAGAGUAUCCACUGUGUCAAACUCAAAUUUGAUCUCUUUGCAUACAUCACAGGCAGCAGCUACUUCAGACUCCAUUUGCUAGCCUCACGGAUAAUUACAUUACCUUUAGAAGCAAGAUCACGUCCUUCAUUAUGAUCUUUUACACAUGUUUCUAGAGCUAUUCAGUUAGCUAUGUCACAUGGCGCAUUACCCGAAGGGUGCCCCAAAGUUCCUCCACCAAAUGUAGUAUGAAAUCAUCCCCAAAGAUCUCGGUCAAAGCUAGCAUAUGCCAAACGUAAAUACCCCCAAAGCCACGGGCAGAAACCUGGUAGAGAGAUCCAAUCUUGAGUGAAGUAAAUACCGUGACUUCGUUCUUUUGCAAUAAAAUCAUCAUGCAGUAAAUCAACAAAGCCCAAAGUGAUCUCUCUUUCCCCUUCAAGUUUAGCUAGGAGAGAAUUUUCUAAGAUCCUAAAGGAUUGU